rnacentral:rRNA from 1 species
UACCAGCCCCCUGAGUGAUAGGGACAACUAUUUAGCCUAAAGCGUCCGUAGCCGGCUUGACAAGUCUUUCGUUAAAUCUGACGACUUAAUCGUUAGGCCGCGAGAGAUACUGCCAAGCUAGAGGGCGGGAGAGGUUGACGGUAGUCCUAGGGUAGGGGUGAAAUCCUAUAAUCCUGGGAGGACCACCAGUGGCGAAGGCGGUCAACUAGAACGCGCCUGACGGUGAGGGACGAAAGCUGGGGGAGCGAACCGGAUUAGACACCCGGGUAGUCCCAGCCGUAAACGAUGCGGGCUAGGUGUUGGAGUAGCUACGAGCUGCUCCAGUGCCGCAGAGAAGUUGUUAAGCCCGCCGCUUGGGAAGUACGGCCGCAAGGCUGAAACUUAAAGGAAUUGGCGGGGGAGCACCACAAGGGGUGAAGCCCGCGGUUCAAUUGGAGUCAACGCCGGGAACAUUACCAGGGCUGACAGCAGAGUGAAGGCCAGACUAAAGAUCUUGCUAGACAAGCUGAGAGGUGGCGCAUGGCCGUCGACAGUUCGUGCCGUGAGGUGUCCUGUUAAGUCAGGCAACGAACGAGACCCUCACUGUUAGUUGCCAGCGGGUUCCGACGGAAUGCCGGGCACACUAAUGGGACUGCCGCUGAUAAGGUGGAGGAAGGAGGGGGCCACGGCAGGUCAGUAUGCCCCGAAUGCCCUGGGCCACACGCGGGCUGCAAUGAUAGGGACAGAGGGUUCUGACCUCGAAAGUGGAAAGUAAUCCCUAAACCCUACCGUAGUUGGAAUUGAGGGCUGAAACCCGCCCUCAUGAAUCUGGAAUCCCUAGUAAUCGCGCGUCAUCAUCGCGCGGUGAAUACGUCCCCGCUCCU